rnacentral:rRNA from 1 species
UACGUAGGGUGCAAGCGUUGUCCGGAAUUAUUGGGCGUAAAGAGCUCGUAGGCGGUCUGUCGCGUCGAAUGUGAAAACCCGGGGCUCAACCCCGGGCCUGCAUUCGAUACGGGCAGACUAGAGUUCGGUAGGGGAGUCUGGAAUUCCUGGUGUAGCGGUGAAAUGCGCAGAUAUCAGGAGGAACACCGGUGGCGAAGGCGGGACUCUGGGCCGAUACUGACGCUGGAGGAGCGAAAGCGUGGGGAGCAAACAGG